UACGGAGGGUGCAAGCGUUAAUCGGAAUUACUGGGCGUAAAGCGCGCGUAGGCGGCUGGAUAAGUCGAUUGUGAAAGCCUUGGGCUCAACCUGAGAAUUGCAGUCGAGACUGUUCGGCUAGAGUGUGGGAGAGGGUGGUGGAAUUCCCGGUGUAGCGGUGAAAUUCGUAGAUAUGGGGAGGAACACCGGUGGCGAAGGCGGCCAUCUGGACGGAUACUGACGCUGAGGCACGAAAGCGUGGGGAGCGAACAGG
rnacentral:rRNA from 1 species